UUUUUGUCCGUUUACACAGAUUGACCAACAAUGGAGAGAGGUUGGAACUUAUAUCCUUUGCUUAAUGAAAUUAUAAGUCGUCUCCUAUGGUGAUUUAGCUGUUAACCUUUCAUCUUGAAGGUUCUUGUAGUUAAUUAAGGAACAUUAGAAGAACUCCGGAUACCAUUAAAUUAUGAAAUUAUCGAGCAUUGGUUGUAUUAGUCCUCAUUUGCCCCGGAAAGUAGCUGUGCCCAUGAUUCUAAAGAAAGCAUGAAAGUGCCUUUUUUCCGUUGGGAACGAAACUGUUAAAUUUUCAUCCUGGAUGCUCUUGUAGUUAAUUAAGGGAUGUGAGAAGAACUCCAGAUGCCAUUAAAUUGUGGAGCAUUGAUUGUGUCGGUUCUCAUUGACUCCAAAAAGUGACUGUUCCUAUAGUCAUAAAGAAAACAUGAAAGUGCCUUUCCAUUGGGAACGGAGACAAUGUGCUGAAGUGUGCUGCUGAAGGAGGGAUUUAUGACAAUAAACUGAUUGUCCCACAAAUGACGAGAGAUUGCAGUUAAUUUUGAUGUUACUGAAGCAACCGAUUUUUUGAUGUCUUCACUUUGCAACAUUAUGCAGUUAACUUUUACCGUAACGACAGGAGGCAGUUGGAAAUUAAUUAAUUUGGAAGAGACUGGAACAACAGAUUGUUUGCAGUGAUCCCUCCUAGAUUUGGUUUGCUCAUCACACUGAUAGACUUUAGAACGCCACUUUCUACAAUUAAUUAAGGUGAGAAUACAUGACUGAUCAAUAUUAAUUACUCUUUAUAAAUCUGUUAUGAAGUUUUUGUUAACAAUUAGCUAUUGUCAACAGUAUAAAUUGAGUUUAUUGUGUAUCAGCAUCACUUGACAGUUUUAUUUUCCACAGAAUAAAUUGAUAUUUAUCAUUGAUGAAUCUAUGGAGUUUAUCUAUCUAUGAAUUUUCUUUUUAACCUUUUUCUGUUGUCUAUGUCGUAAAUUGAUGUCGUGUUAUUUGACGUUAAUCUAUGUCGUGAUCUAUGGUUGUGAUGUAAAAUGGCGUAAAAUUGUUGUUUGUUUAUUUUAUAAUUCAGAUAUUUUACU
rnacentral:lncRNA from 1 species